rfam:Xanthomonas oryzae pv. oryzae KACC10331, complete genome.
AUGUCCCACGCGUACCUGCGGUUCUGAGCGCGCCGUCCGUCCCCACCUGACGACUGCUCGCUACGUUCUGCUAACG